UCGGAAUUACUGGGCGGAAAGCGCAUGUAGGCGGAUCGCUAAGUCAGGGGUGAAAUCCCGAGGCUCAACCUCGGAACUGCCUUUGAUACUGGCGAUCUUGAGUCCGGGAGAGGUGAGUGGAACUCCGAGUGUAGAGGUGAAAUUCGUAGAUAUUCGGAAGAACACCAGUGGCGAAGGCGGCUCACUGGCCCGGUACUGACGCUGAGAUGCGAAAGCGUGGGGAGCAAACA
rnacentral:rRNA from 1 species